rnacentral:rRNA from 1 species
CCUACGGGAGGCAGCAGUGAGGAAUAUUGGUCAAUGGACGAGAGUCUGAACCAGCCAAGUAGCGUGAAGGAUGACUGCCCUAUGGGUUGUAAACUUCUUUUAUAAAGGAAUAAAACGAGGCACGUGUGCCUUUUUGCAUGUACUUUAUGAAUAAGGAUCGGCUAACUCCGUCCAGCAGCCGCGGUAAUACGGAGGAUCCGAGCGUUAUCCGGAUUUAUUGGGGUUAAAGGGAGCGUAGAUGGGUUGUUAAGUCAGUUGUGAAAGUUUGCGGCUCAACCGUAAAAUUGCAAUUGAUACUGGCAGUCUUGAGUACAGUUGAGGUAAGCGGAAUUCGUGGUGUAGCGGUGAAAUGCUUAGAUAUCACGAAGAACCCCGAUUGCGAAGGCAGCUUACUAAACUGUGACUGACAUUGAUGCUCGAAAGUGUGGGUAUCAAACAGGAUUAGAUACCCCUGUAGUC